UACCAGCACCCCGAGUGGUCGGGACGUUUAUUGGGCCUAAAGCAUCCGUAGCCGGUUCUACAAGUCUUCCGUUAAAUCCAGCUGCUUAACAGAUGGGCUGCGGAAGAUACUAUGGAGCUAGGAGGCGGGAGAGGCAAGCGGUACUCGAUGGGUAGGGGUAAAAUCCGUUGAUCCAUUGAAGACCACCAGUGGCGAAGGCGGCUUGCCAGAACGCGCUCGACGGUGAGGGAUGAAAGCUGGGGGA
rnacentral:rRNA from 1 species